rnacentral:rRNA from 1 species
AAUGAACGCUGGCGGCAGGCCUAAAACAUGCAAGUCGAACGCCCUAGCAACAGGGAGUGGCGCACGGGUGAGUAACAUGUGGGAAUAUGCCUUUUGGUACGGAACAACGUUUGGAAACGAACGCUAAUACCGUAUGGUCCCUCCGGGGUAAAGAUUUAUCGCCAAAAGAUUAGCCCGCACUAGAUUAGCUAGUUGGUAAGGUAAUGGCUUACCAAGGCGACGAUCUAUAGCUGUUCUGAGAGGAAGAUCAGCCACACUGGGACUGAGACACGGCCCAGACUCCUACGGGAGGCAGCAGUUAGGAAUAUUGGACAAUGGGCGCAAGCCUGAUCCAGCCAUGCCGCGUGAGUGAUGAAGGCCUUCGGGUUGUAAAGCUCUUUAGCCGACGAAUAUAAUGACUGUAGUCGGAGAAUAAGCCCCGGCUAACUUCGUGCCAGCCGCCGCUGUAAAAC